UCAAGGAGGUUGAACUUUAGCCUCGGUAUGCAGUAAUGCCUACAAAAAUAAACUCCUCUAAUUGCUGGAAACUCUUGAAAGAGACAAUCAGCAGCGAAGCCAGAGUAAUCUGGAACGUUCAUCGACUAUCGCGCAAGCGAGUACCCUAGAAGCGUCUGCUAGGGGAAAUGGGGAGCUUCCCACCGGGAAGAAGAUAUAGUCAGUUCUUUGUGGUGACGCAAAG
rnacentral:ncRNA from 1 species